rnacentral:rRNA from 1 species
GGUUAAGCGACUAAGCGUACACGGUGGAUGCCUAGGCAAUCAGAGGCGAUGAAGGACGUGCUAAUCUGCGAUAAGCGUCGGUAAGGUGAUAUGAACCGUUACAACCGACGAUUUCCGAAUGGGGAAACCCAGUGCAAUYCGUUGCACUAUCGUUUGAUGAAUACAUAGUCAAACGAAGCGAACCGGGGGAACUGAAACAUCUCAGUACCCCGAGGAAAAGAAAUCAACCGAGAUUCCCCUAGUAGCGGCGAGCGAACGGGGAGCA